GGUUCUAUGGUUUAAUGGUUAGCACUUUUGACUUUGAAUCCAGCGAUCCGAGUUCAAAUCUCGGUAGAACCU
rnacentral:tRNA from 1 species